rnacentral:rRNA from 1 species
UACGGAGGGUGCGAGCGUUGUUCGGAAUCACUGGGCGUAAAGCGCGUGUAGGCGGUUUCCUAAGUUUGGUGUGAAAGCCCGGGGCUUACCCCCGGAAGUGCACUGGAUACUGGGAGACUAGAGUACCGGAGAGGAAGGUGGAAUUCCUGGUGUAGCGGUGAAAUGCGUAGAUAUCAGGAGGAACACCGGUGGCGAAGGCGGCCUUCUGGACGGAUACUGACGCUGAGACGCGAAAGCGUGGGGAGCAAACAGG